GGAGUACCCCCAGAACGCCCCCCAACAGCCCCAUAUCCAGUUGGAUUCCCAUAAGACCCAUCAUUUCCACCAUAAUUACCAUACCCAUAACCUUGAUUCCCAUACCCAGCAGUCCCACUAGGAGAUUGACCUGCAGGAGUUGAACCAGGGCCACCGCUACCAGCACCAGUAUUUGGCGCCCCCCAAGAAGCAGCAGUUCCAUAGCCCAUGGAACCAUAGCCAGAAGGAGCUUGACCGCUCCAUGAGCUUCUAGGGGCACCAGGUGGACC
rnacentral:misc_RNA from 1 species